rnacentral:rRNA from 1 species
ACUCAAAUGAAUUGACGGGGGCCCGCACAAGCGGUGGAGCAUGUGGUUCAAUUCGAUGCAACGCGAAGAACCUUACCUGGUCUUGACAUCCCGGGAAUCUCCCUGAAAGGGGAGAGUGCCUUCGGGAACCCGGUGACAGGUGCUGCAUGGCUGUCGUCAGCUCGUGUCGUGAGAUGUUGGGUUAAGUCCCGCAACGAGCGCAACCCUUGUCUUUAGUUGCCAGCGGUCAGGCCGGGCACUCUAGAGAGACUGCCGGUGUCAAACCGGAGGAAGGUGGGGAUGACGUCAAGUCCUCAUGGCCUUUAUGACCAGGGCUACACACGUGCUACAAUGACCGGUACAAAGGGCAGCGACACCGCGAGGUGAAGCAAAUCCCAAAAAACCGGCCCCAGUACGGAUUGCAGUCUGCAACUCGACUGCAUGAAGUUGGAAUCGCUAGUAAUCGCGGAUCAGCACGCCGCGGUGAAUACGUUCCCGGGCCUUGUACACACCGCCCGU